ACACGACUACAUUAGAUACCCGCGUAGUCCUAGCCGUAAACGAUACUCGCUAGGUGUCGGCCACGGUGCGACCGUUGUCGGUGCCGUAGGGAAGCCGUGAAGCGAGCCACCUGGGAAGUACGGCCGCAAGCUGAAACUUAAAGGAAUUGGCGGGGGAGCACCACAACGGGUGGAGCUUGCGGUUUAAUUGGAUUCAACGCCGGAAAUCUUACCGGGACCGACAGCAACAUGAAGGCCAGGCCGAAGACUUUGCCGGAUUAGCUG
rnacentral:rRNA from 1 species